GUUAAGGUUUACUGUGUGUUUUGCAAAUUGAAAUAUAAAUAAUUGUUUUUCGAUUUCAUAUCUGUUCCGUAUUAUUUAAGGAAAAAUUUUUUUCAGUUUGAAUGAGACUGAUUUUAGUAAGGUGUCAAGUUUUAUAUUUUUGUCUACAUCGAUCUGCCCCACCCCUCCGUUAUUGUCCCAAUGGAUCGUCCCAGUCGGAACGUAUGCUGUCAGGACAUUGUGACUGAUAGGUACUCCCCUUUGCAAGUAGGUUUGGGUUCGUCCACCAAAUGGCGAAACUACCGUCUUCCUACCUUUCCUCCCUUCUGUAGAGAACGUGAGAACAACAGCUGGCGAUCUCGCGACGCAUUUCUUUUGUCCGUUUACCUUCGACCAUUUUCAUUUCUCCUGUGGCCAGACGUUUUUCCUUUCGUCGCGUUUAUGAUUCAGUAUAGAUUCUGAUAUCAAGAAGUUUCCGUUUCUUUUUUUUAAUGUUAAAAAAAUACAUAUCAAUGACAAAUGAAUAAACA
rnacentral:lncRNA from 1 species